rnacentral:rRNA from 1 species
CGGCCGGGCAGGUCCAUCGGGAAAUCCACGUGCUCAACGCGUGGGCGUCCGGUGGAUACCGUCCGGCUUGGGACCGGGAGACCCGAGGGGUACGUCCGGGGUAGGAGUGAAAUCCCGUAAUCCUGGACGGACCGCCGGUGGCGAAAGCGCCUCGGGAGAACGGAUCCGACGGUGAGGGACGAAAGCUAGGGUCUCGAACCGGAUUAGAUACCCGGGUAGUCCUAGCCGUAAACGAUGCCCGCUAGGUGUGGCGCAGGCUACGAGCCUGCGCUGUGCCGUAGGGAAGCCGUGAAGCGGGCCGCCUGGGAA